GACGAACGCUGGCGGCGUGCCUAAUACAUGCAAGUCGAGCGGACGGAUGGGAGCUUGCUCCCAGGCCGUCAGCGGCGGACGGGUGAGUAACACGUGGGCAACCUGCCUGUAAGACUGGGAUAACUCCGGGAAACCGGGGCUAAUACCGGAUAACUCUUUCCCUCACAUGAGGGAAAGCUGAAAGAUGGCAUCUCGCUAUCACUUACAGAUGGGCCCGCGGCGCAUUAGCUAGUUGGUGAGGUAACGGCUCACCAAGGCGACGAUGCGUAGCCGACCUGAGAGGGUGAUCGGCCACACUGGGACUGAGACACGGCCCAGACUCCUACGGGAGGCAGCAGUAGGGAAUCUUCCGCAAUGGACGAAAGUCUGACGGAGCAACGCCGCGUGAGUGAUGAAGGUUUUCGGAUCGUAAAACUCUGUUGUCAGGGAAGAACAAGUACCGGAGUAACUGCCGGUACCUUGACGGUACCUGACCAGAAAGCCACGGCUAACUACGUG
rnacentral:rRNA from 1 species